rnacentral:rRNA from 1 species
CGUAGGGUGCAAGCGUUAUUCGGAGUCACUGGGCGUAAAGAGUUCUGUAGGCGGCUUUGUAAGUCAAAGGUUAAAGACCCCGGCUCAACUGGGGGACGGCUUUUGAUACUGCAUCGCUAGAGAUAGCUAGGGGGCAACGGAACCCAUCGUGUAGCAGUGAAAUGCGUUGAUAUGAUGGGGAACACCAAGGGGGAAGCCAGUUGCCUGGGGCUUAUCUGACGCUGAGAGACGAAAGCGUGGGGAGCGAAACGGAUUAGAUACCCGUGUAGUCCACGCCGUAAACAAUGUCCGCUAGAUGCCUGCGUAAGUGGGUGUCGAAGCUAACGCGUUAAGCGGACCGCCUGGGGAGUACGGCCGCAAGGCUA